CCUACGGGAGGCAGCAGUGGGGAAUAUUGGACAAUGGGGGCAACCCUGAUCCAGCCAUGCCGCGUGUGUGAAGAAGGCCCUCGGGUUGUAAAGCACUUUCAGUGAGGAAGAACGCCUGGUGGUUAAUACCCAUCAGGAAAGACAUCACUCACAGAAGAAGCACCGGCUAACUCCGUGCCAGCAGCCGCGGUAAUACGGAGGGUGCGAGCGUUAAUCGGAAUUACUGGGCGUAAAGCGCGCGUAGGUGGCUUGAUAAGCCGGUUGUGAAAGCCCCGGGCUCAACCUGGGAACGGCAUCCGGAACUGUCAAGCUAGAGUGCAGGAGAGGAAGGUAGAAUUCCCGGUGUAGCGGUGAAAUGCGUAGAGAUCGGGAGGAAUACCAGUGGCGAAGGCGGCCUUCUGGACUGACACUGACACUGAGGUGCGAAAGCGUGGGUAGCAAACAGGAUUAGACACCCCUGUAGUC
rnacentral:rRNA from 1 species